rnacentral:rRNA from 1 species
CAGCCGCCGCGGUAAAACGUAGGGUGCAAGCGUUAAUCGGAAUUACUGGGCGUAAAGCGUGCGCAGGCGGUUAUAUAAGACAGAUGUGAAAUCCCCGGGCUCAACCUGGGAACUGCAUUUGUGACUGUAUAGCUAGAGUACGGCAGAGGGGGAUGGAAUUCCGCGUGUAGCAGUGAAAUGCGUAGAUAUGCGGAGGAACACCGAUGGCGAAGGCAAUCCCCUGGGCCUGUACUGACGCUCAUGCACGAAAGCGUGGGGAGCAAACAGGAUUAGAGACCCGGGUAGUCCCUGUCUCUUAUAA